GCUGGGUGUGGUGGUGCGCACCUGUAGUUCCAGCUACUUGGGAGGCUGAGGCAGGAGAAUCACUUGAACCCGGGAGGCGGAGGUUGCAGUGAGCCAAGAUCAGGCUACUGCACUCCAGCCUGGGCAACAGAGUGAGACUCUGUCUCAA
rnacentral:SRP_RNA from 2 species